GCUAAUUGGGGGCGGGGAGGGGUGGGAAUACGUAGGGGGCAAGCGGUUGCCGGGUUCAUUGGGCGGAAAGAGCGGGUAGGCGGCCAGGUAGGUCGGUUGUGAAAACUGGGGGCGCAACCUUCAGGGGUCGACCGAAACCAGCUGGCUAGAGUCCGGGAGAGGAGAGUGGAAUUCCUGGGGUAGCGGUGAAAUGCGCAGAUAUCAGGAAGAACACCCGUGGCGAAAGCGGCUCUCUGGAACGGUACUGACGCUGAGACGCGAAAGCGUGGGGAGCGAACAGGAUUAGAUACCCGAGUAGUC
rnacentral:rRNA from 1 species